GGGGGCGUACUGGUUUCGACCUGGGAUGAGCGCCAGAGGCGGCAUGCCGAGGACGAUGCGUGGGCCUCGUAAAUCAUCGCAUCAAACCAAACUGCUAACGAAGAGUUGGCUCUCGCGGCCUAAAUCACCGCGACGUUCACCGGUGGACGCCUGCUACGCCGGCUGAACGCCACAGCAGGCAUGGGUUGACGCGGAGACAGCGCGCGGCGACCCGAGAACAACUCAUGCUGACUGGGCGGCGGGGAAGCACGCCGGAGGGCGUUCCCGCGGCCGAGAUGAAUCUCCGGCUAAGCAUGUAGUCGCGGCUGGGGCUUGUGUCAGGGACAGGGGUUCGACUCCCCUCGCCUCCACCA
rnacentral:tmRNA from 1 species